CCGCGGUAAUACGUAGGGGGCGAGCGUUGUCCGGAAUUAUUGGGCGUAAAGGGCGUGUAGGCGGCCUGUUAAGUCAGGGGUGAAAACCCGGGGCUCAACUUCGGGGUUGCCCUUGAAACUGGCGGGCUUGAGUGCUCUAGAGGGCAGUGGAAUUCCCGGUGUAGCAGUGAAAUGCGUAGAGAUCGGGAGGAACACCAGUGGCGAAGGCGGCUGCCUGGGGAGUAACUGACGCUGAGGCGCGAAAGCUAGGGGAGCAAACAGG
rnacentral:rRNA from 1 species